UACGGGGGGGGCAAGCGUUGUUCGGAAUUACUGGGCGUAAAGGGCUCGUAGGUGGCCAACUAAGUCAGACGUGAAAUCCCUCGGCUUAACCGGGGAACUGCGUCUGAUACUGGAUGGCUUGAGUUUGGGAGAGGGACGCGGAAUUCCAGGUGUAGCGGUGAAAUGCGUAGAUAUCUGGAGGAACACCGGUGGCGAAGGCGGCGUCCUGGACCAACACUGACACUGAGGAGCGAAAGCCAGGGAGCAAACGGG
rnacentral:rRNA from 1 species